rnacentral:lncRNA from 1 species
AACAGAUUUAAAAAUCACAGUAAGAGAGAAAAAAAUAUUCUCAAAUAUUCAUUCAAGAAGCAGACAAAAGUUUGUAAGGACACUUAAGACUCGAAUGAAACAGUAAGAUUGACCUAAUAAAGAGAUAGCAACUUAUUUUCACUAAGAAAAUUUUGAAGUAAAUAUGACUACUUGAUCUCUCUAAUUGACUCAUGUCCUACAGGUUGGUGAUAUCUGUUUUUGGAAGGAAGUCUGUGAGGCCUGUCCAUUGAGUAGUGAUAUGCAUUAGGUUUUUCAGAGCAGUUCUCUCAGUUAUAAAGCCAUUAAAAGAGGCUAGGGCCAAUGGCUCAUGCCUGUAAUCCCAGCGCUUUGGGAGGUUGAGACAGGAGGAUUGCUUGAGUCUUUGAGUUUGAGACAAGCCAUGGCAACAUGGCAAAACUCUCUCCCUGCAAAUAUAAAUAAAUAAAUAAAUACAAUAAAAGUAAAAAACAAAAAGUAAAUAAAAACCUAGAUGAGCAUGGUGGCACACACCUGUGAUCCCAGCUACUCCAGAGGCUGAGCUAGGAGGAUUGCUUGAGCCAGGGAGGUUGAGGCUGCAGCAAGCUGUAACUGUGCCAGUGCAAUUCAACUUGAGUGACAGAGUGAGACUCUAUUUCAAAUAAAAAAAUUAAAAAGAGUUGAUUAGGUAUUCUCAAAUUUACUGGAAGAGCUUGUUUAUUAUGUAACUCUCAAUAAAGACUCCCAAUGUUGUCAAUGUUGAAGUCUCCAUCUCAUGUUUUAUUGAGCUUUGACCCAGUGCACAUUUCUAUGAACUUUGUGGAUGAGUAUUUCUUUUUUGGCUAUAAGACUUGUAAAUCAUCAUUUUCCUUUCCAAAACUCAUGUGCUUACUCUACUAUAGGGAUAGGAAAGGAGUGCUAGAAUUGUCAGAAGUCUGUGGUGCUGCACAUAAAAAUUUUUUUAAAGAAGUUUGUCUUAACACAGGCUACAAGAACGUGAAGCUCUAGAAAAAUCACCACAGGCAAGUUUAUUGUGCCCAUGUGGGGCAAUGGAAGCUGACACAGGGUUCUGGAUUCAACUAGCAAGUUUCUCUUUAUUUGCCUUCUUUCCUAUUUAUAUUUAGUUGCUUCUUCAUUAUUUCCUCGAAAAAUCCGACUUUCCUUCUUAAUUUUCCUUUUUUAUUUUUUAGAUAUAGGAUCUUGCUUUGUCACCUACGCUGGAAACCAGUGGCAUGAUUAUGGCUCAUAUAGCCUUAAACUCCUAGACUUCCCUCUUUUAGGUCUGGAAUUUCACAGAAUAUUUCAGACAUAACUACUGACAUUUUAAAGACUGAUUUAAUUGGUUAUGAGUUAUUAUCACCAAUGAGAGAAUUGCAGAGAGUUGCAGAGAGAGUUGGGUCGAGUAAGAAGGAUAAAAAAGAUGAUUCAUGUACUGUAAAUAGCUGUGAAGAAUGUGGCCAGAAGGGAUAGUAGAAGGGUUGAAGCAUUGUUUUUCAACAUAUUUUUGGAUUUAAUAAUUAGGUCUUCUGAGUAGAAAAUUACUGGGAGGAAAGUUGGAUUGUAGAGGCUAAGGACAAAGUCAGUGGAGAUAAAAUGGUAACAGCUAGUAGAGAUCACUUAUGUAUGAACCCACUCUCCUAAGUUUAAAACAAAGGAUUAAAGGGAAAGAACAGAGAGAGAAAAAUGUUGAGAUAAGGGACAGAGACAAGGGACAUAUAAGUGGUACAUGUAAUAGCAUUAAAAGAGGAGAUAGACUCAACUUUUGAGACUGAAAGAUGAAUGAUAGAUGAAGGCUGUAGGAAUAAAAAGAAUGAAUUUUUUUGCAAAAUGGAAAUGCAAUCUUCUGCUUUAUUCAAUUAUAUACUUGAAAAACUUUGAUAAAAAUUGAUUUUGACCUAGUAAAUCUCAAUAUAUUAAGAGAGACUUAAGUUUUGUGUUGCCAAAGUGUCAAUUAAGUCAUCAGAGAAUUGAUUCUUCAGUUUGAAUCUUAAGUACUGUGAAUCUUGAGUAACCAGCAAGGGGAGCUCUAAUUAUGGGCAUAUUUGUACUUAAGUCUCUGACUGAGUGAGGUCUGACCAUACAUGUGUGGGACAGGUAGCAAACAACCUUUCUAAAAGAGAAAAGAAAAAUUCAAAAUGAGAUUUCACAUGUGG